rnacentral:rRNA from 1 species
AGAGUUUGAUCCUGGCUCAGAUUGAACGCUGGCGGCAGGCCUAACACAUGCAAGUCGAGCGGUAACAGGGGUAGCUUGCUACCCGCUGACGAGCGGCGGACGGGUGAGUAAUGCAUAGGAAUUUACCCGAUAGUGGGGGAUAACCUGGGGAAACCCAGGCUAAUACCGCAUACGUCCUACGGGAGAAAGGGGGCUCCGGCUCCCGCUAUCGGAUGAGCCUAUGCCGGAUUAGCUGGUUGGUGAGGUAAUGGCUCACCAAGGCGACGAUCCGUAGCUGGUCUGAGAGGAUGAUCAGCCACAUCGGGACUGAGACACGGCCCGAACUCCUACGGGAGGCAGCAGUGGGGAAUAUUGGACAAUGGGGGCAACCCUGAUCCAGCCAUGCCGCGUGUGUGAAGAAGGCCCUCGGGUUGUAAAGCACUUUCAGUGAGGAAGAACGCCUGAUGGUUAAUACCCGUCAGGAAAGACAUCACUCACAGAAGAAGCACCGGCUAACUCCGUGCCAGCAGCCGCGGUAAUACGGGGGGUGCAAGCGUUAAUCGGAAUUACUGGGCGUAAAGCGCAUGCAGGCGGUUUGUUAAGUCAGAUGUGAAAGCCCGGGGCUCAACCUCGGAACCGCAUUUGAAACUGGCAGGCUAGAGUCUUGUAGAGGGGGGUAGAAUUUC